UACAGAGGGGGCAAGCGUUGUUCGGAAUUACUGGGCGUAAAGGGCGCGUAGGCGGCCUUCUAAGUCGAACGUGAAAUCCCCGAGCUCAACCCGGGAACUGCGUCCGAGACUGAAAGGCUCGAAUCCGGGAGAGGGAUGUGGAAUUCCAGGUGUAGCGGUGAAAUGCGUAGAUAUCUGGAGGAACAUCGGUGGCGAAGGCGGCAUCCUGGACCGGUAUUGACGCUGAGGCGCGAAAGCCAGGGGAGCAAACGGG
rnacentral:rRNA from 1 species